rnacentral:rRNA from 1 species
UACGUAGGGUCCGAGCGUUAAUCGGAAUUACUGGGCGUAUAGCGUGCGCAGGCGGUUUUGUAAGCCAGAUGUGAAAGCCCCGGGCUUAACCUGGGAAUGGCAUUUGGGACUGCAAGGCUGGAGUACGGCAGAGGGAGGUGGAAUUCCACGUGUAGCAGUGAAAUGCGUAGAGAUGUGGAGGAACACCGAUGGCGAAGGCAGCCUCCUGGGCUAGUACUGACGCUCAUGCACGAAAGCGUGGGGAGCAAACAGG